UUGAUCUUGCAUAAGAUCAAGGGGAGAAAAGAAGAUACAAUCGAUAUCAAAUAUUGAAUUUGAGGAAUUGGAUUGCUAUUUCUUCUCUUGUAUAACAUUUUACAAAAGGUUAUAGAAACUAUCACAAAACUCAUACUUUCUCAAGCAUUUAACACAAGCUAAAAACUCAUCAGAUAGACGUGGAGUGUUCCUUUUUGGACGAAGUCCUCGAGGAACAAGGAUAAAUGGAACUACUAUUGAGAAAC
rnacentral:lncRNA from 1 species